GACGAACCGUGCGAACGUUGUUCGGAAUUACUGGGCGUAAAGCGCACGUAGGCGGCUUUGUAAGUUAGAGGUGAAAGCCCAGGGCUCAACCCUGGAAUUGCCUUUAAGACUGCAUCGCUUGAACAUCGGAGAGGUAAGUGGAAUUCCGAGUGUAGAGGUGAAAUUCGUAGAUAUUCGGAAGAACACCAGUGGCGAAGGCGACUUAGUGGACGAUUGUUGACGCUGAGGUGCGAAAGCGUGGGGAGCAAACAGG
rnacentral:rRNA from 1 species